rnacentral:rRNA from 1 species
UACGAAGGGGGCUAGCGUUGCUCGGAAUUACUGGGCGUAAAGGGCGCGUAGGCGGACAGUUUAGUCAGAGGUGAAAGCCCAGGGCUCAACCUCGGAACUGCCUUUGAUACUGCAAAUCUCGAGUCCGGAAGAGGUGAGUGGAAUUCCUAGUGUAGAGGUGAAAUUCGUAGAUAUUAGGAAGAACACCAGUGGCGAAGGCGGCUCACUGGUCCGGUACUGACGCUGAGGUGCGAAAGCGUGGGGAGCAAACAGG